UACGGAGGAUGCGAGCGUUAUCCGGAUUUAUUGGGUUUAAAGGGUGCGUAGGCGGGCUUUUAAGUCAGCGGUAAAAAUUCGGGGCUCAACCCCGUCCGGCCGUUGAAACUGGGGGUCUUGAGUGGGCGAGAAGAAGGCGGAAUGCGUGGUGUAGCGGUGAAAUGCAUAGGUAUCACGCAGAACCCCGAUUGCGAAGGCAGCCUUCCGGCGCCCUACUGACGCUGAGGCACGAAAGUGCGGGGAUCGAACAGG
rnacentral:rRNA from 1 species